UACGGGGGGGGCAAGCGUUGUUCGGAAUUACGGGGCGUAAAGGGCUCGUAGGCGGCCAACUAAGCCGGACGUGAAAUCCCUCGGCUUAACCGGGGAACUGCGUCCGAUACUGGAUGGCUUGAGUUUGGGAGAGGGAUGCGGAAUUCCAGGUGUAGCGGUGAAAUGCGUAGAUAUCUGGAGGAACACCGGUGGCGAAGGCGGCAUCCUGGACCAACACUGACGCUGAUGAGCGAAAGCCAGGGGAGCAAACGGG
rnacentral:rRNA from 1 species